UCUUGGUCAUUUAGAGGAAGUAAAAGUCGUAACAAGGUUUCCGUAGGUGAACCUGCGGAAGGAUCAUUAACGAGUUCAAAAGUCGGUCGACCGUGCUGGCGGAGACGCAUGUGCACGUCGGUCGCGAACCAUCCACACACCGUGAACCUAUGGCCUGGGGUUUGAGUUCAGACCCUGGGCACCAUUUUUACACUCUGUUUGUAAAGGAAUGUCUUAUAUCAUAUAAACAUACAACUUUCAACAACGGAUCUCUUGGCUCUCGCAUCGAUGAAGAACGCAGCGAAAUGCGAUAAGUAAUGUGAAUUGCAGAAUUCAGUGAAUCAUCGAAUCUUUGAACGCACCUUGCACCCUUUGGUAUUCCGAAGGGUACGCCCGUUUGAGUGUCAUUGUAAUCUCACCCCGAAAUCUUUUUUUGGAGUGGACUUGGAUGCUGCCGUGUUGCAUGGCUCGUCUUGAACGUCUCAGUAAGCCCCGCCCGUCGGUGUAGACAGCGUGAUAAGUAUCUUCGCUGGUCAAGCCUCUCCGGAGGCGCACCCUCGAGCAUGGAAGCCUGCUGCCAACCGUCUUUUGACAACCUUUGACAAUUUGACCUCAGAUCGGGUGGGACUACCCGCUGAACUUAAGCAUAUCAAUAAGCGGAGGA
rnacentral:rRNA from 1 species